GGGCGAGUGGUGGAAUUGGUAGACACGCUAGUCUUAGGAACUAGUGGGGUAAAACCCGUGAAGGUUCAAGUCCUUUCUCGCCCACCA
rnacentral:tRNA from 1 species